rnacentral:rRNA from 1 species
CCAAGCUACUAAGGGCGGACGGCGGAUGCCUUGGUAUCAGGAGGCGAAGAAGGACGUGGAAAGCUGCGAUAAGCUUCGGGGAGCCGCUAACAGGCUUUGAUCCGGAGGAUUCCGAAUGGGGAAACCCGGCUGGGGUAAAACUCAGUCAUCAUGGACUGAAUACAUAGGUCCAUGAGGCGAACGAGGGGAACUGAAACAUCUUAGUACCCUCAGGAAAGGAAAGUAAAAACGAUUCCCGAAGUAGCGGCGAGCGAAACGGGAGGAGCUCAAACCGUAUGUAUGUAAGCCUGUAAGCGUUGUAUAUACGGGGUUGUGGGACCUUAUGGUGUCGAUUACAGUCGGCGCAUGGAGUUACAAAAGUCAUAUAUAGCUGAACAGUCUGGAAAGGCUGGUCACAGAAGGUGAAAGCCCUGUAAGCGAAAUAUAUGGCCCUCCAAUAAGGCACCCGAGUACCACGGGGCACGUGAAACCUCGUGGGAAUCUGGGAGGACCAUCUUCCAAAGCUAAAUACUACCUGAUGACCGAUAGUGAACCAGUACCGUGAGGGAAAGGUGAAAAGUACGGGGGGACCCGAGUGAAAUAGAACCUGAAACCGUCCGCUUACAAGCAGUGGGAGCACCAUGUCAGCAAUGACGGUGUGACCGCGUGCCUUUUGCAUAAUGAGUCAGCGAGUUACCAUAUGCAGCGAGGUUAAGCCGUGAGGUGUAGCCGGAGCGAAAGCGAGUCUUAAUAGGGCGUUUAGUUGUAUGUGGUAGACCCGAAGCCGAGUGAUCUAUCCAUGGCCAGGGUGAAGCGAAGGUAACACUUCGUGGAGGCCCGAACAGGUGUAGGUUGAAAACUGCUCUGAUGAGCUGUGGAUAGGAGUGAAAGGCUAAUCAAACUCGGUGAUAGCUGGUUUUCUCCGAAAUAUAUUUAGGUAUAGCCUCGAGAGUUUACUGACGGAGGUAGAGCACUGAAUGGACUAGGGGUCCCACCGGAUUACCAAACCCAACCAAACUCCGAAUACCGUCAAGUUAUAUCUCGGGAGUCAGACUACGGGAGAUAAGUUCCGUGGUCGAGAGGGAAAUAGCCCAGAUCGUCAGCUAAGGUCCCCAAAUGCAUGCUAAGUGGAAAAGGAGGUGGAACUGCCCAGACAACCAGGAGGUUGGCUUAGAAGCAGCAAUCCUUUAAAGAAAGCGUAAUAGCUCACUGGUCGAGUGGGGCUGCGCCGAAAAUUCAACGGGGCUUAAGCAUGCUACCGAAGCUACGGAUUUUAAAAUCUUCGGAUUUUAGAGUGGUAGGAGAACAUUGUAGUAACCGUAGAAGGUGUAUCGUAAGAAGCGCUGGAGGAACUACAAGAGCUUAUGCUGACACGAGUAGCGAAAAACAAGGUGAGAAACCUUGUCGCCGAAAACCUAAGGUUUCCUGUAGUCAAGUUAAUCUGCUCAGGGUUAGUCGGUCCCUAAGGCGAGGCCGAGAGGCGUAGUUGAUGGGAAACAGGUUAAUAUUCCUGUACUGCUUUAUUAUCGUUUGAGCGAAGGGGGGACGCAGAAGGGUAGACCAUCCUGGUGUUGGAAUACCAGGUUUAAGCGUGUAGGUGGGGGACUUAGGCAAAUCCGGGACCCUGUAUAACAUCGAGACGUGAUGACGAAGGGGCGUAAGCCCCGCAAAGUGGUUGAUCCCAUGCUGCCAGGAAAAGCCUCGUAGUGAGAUAAUAGAGUAACCGUACCGUAAACCGACACAGGUGGGUAGGGAGAGAAUCCUAAGGCGCUUGAGAGAACUCUGGUUAAGGAACUCGGCAAAAUAACACCGUAACUUCGGGAGAAGGUGUGCCUCCUUUGGUGAAGCGAUUCGCACGCGGAGCUUAAGGAGGUUGCAGUGAAAUGGGGGGAGCGACUGUUUACUAAAAACACAGGACUCUGCUAAGUCGAAAGACGCAGUAUAGGGUCUGACGCCUGCCCGGUGCCGGAAGGUUAAGGGGACUUGUUAGGGGCAACCCGAAGCAACGAACCGAAGCCCCGGUAAACGGCGGCCGUAACUAUAACGGUCCUAAGGUAGCGAAAUUCCUUGUCGGGUAAGUUCCGACCUGCACGAAUGGCGUAACGAUUUCCCCACUGUCUCAACCAGGGACUCAGCGAAACUGUAUCAUCGGUGAAGAUGCCGAUUACCCGCAACUAGACAGAAAGACCCCGUGCACCUUUACUAUAGCUUGGCAUUGUAUUUUGAGCUAGUUUGUGUAGGAUAGGUGGGAGACGUUGAAGCCGGAACGCUAGUUUCGGUGGAGUCAACCUUGAAAUACCACCCUGAUUAUCUUAGAAUACUAACCUAGACCCGUAAUCCGGGUCAGGGACAUUGUCUGGUGGGUAGUUUGACUGGGGCGGUCGCCUCCUAAAGAGUAACGGAGGCGCGCGAUGGUUCCCUCAGGCUGAUUGGAAACCAGCCGAAGAGUGUAAAGGCAUAAGGGAGCUUGACUGCGAGACUGACAAGUCGAGCAGGUGCGAAAGCAGGUCUUAGUGAUCCGGUGGUUCCGCAUGGAAGGGCCAUCGCUCAACGGAUAAAAGGUACGCCGGGGAUAACAGGCU